GACAGAGGGUGCAAACGGUUGUUCGGAAUUACUGGGCGUAAAGCGCGUGUAGGCGGCUAAGUAAGUCGGGCGUGAAAUCCCACGGCUCAACCGCGGGAAGUGCACUCGAAAACUGGCAUAGCUAGAGUCCUGGAGAGGAAGGUGGAAUGCUUGGUGUAGAGGUGAAAUUCGUAGAUAUUGGGAAGAACACCGGUGGCGAAGGCGGCGACCUGGUCCGAUACUGACGCUGAGGCGCGAAAGCGUGGGGAGCAAACAGG
rnacentral:rRNA from 1 species